AGAGUUUGAUCCUGGCUCAGGAUGAACGCUGGCGGCGUGCCUAACACAUGCAAGUCGAAGGGACUAUUAAGCGAUGUUUUCGGACUGAACUUUUUAGUUUAGUGGCGGACGGGUGAGUACGCGUGGAUAACCUGCCUUUCACAGGGGGAUAGCAGCUGGAAACGGCUGGUAAUACCGAUACGCUCAUAUCACCGCAUGGUGGUGUGAGGAAAGAUUUAUCGGUGAAAGAUGGAUCCCGUCUGAUUAGCCAGUUGGCGGGGUAACGGCCCACCAAAGCGACGAUCAGUAGCCGGCCGAGAGGGCGGACGGCCACAUUGGGACUGAGACACGGCCCAGACUCCUACGGGAGGCAGCGUGGGGGAUAUUGCACAAUGGGCGCAAGCCUGAUGCAGCGACGCCGCGUGAGUGAAGAAUAUUUCGGUAUGUAAAGCUCUAUCAGCAGGGAAGAAAGGCCCUUUUAGGGAGAUGACGGACCUGACUAAGAAGCCCCGGCUAACUACGUGCCAGCAGCCGCGGUAAUACGUAGGGGGCAGCGUUAUCCGGAUUUACUGGGUGUAAAGGGAGCGCAGACGGAACUGCAAGUCUGAUGUAAAGCCCGGGGCUCAACCGCGGGACUGCAUUGGAAACUGUAGAUCUGGAGUGCCGGAGGGCAAGCGGAAUUCCUGGUGUAGCGGUGAAAUGCGUAGAUAUCACGAGGAACACCGGCGGGAAGGCGGCUUGCUGGACGGCAACUGACGUUGAGGCUCGAAAGCGUGGGGAGCAAACAGAUUAGAUACCCUGGUAGUCCACGCUGUAAACGAUGAAUACUAUGUGUGGGCAUGCAAGGAUGUCCGUGCCGCAGCUAAC
rnacentral:rRNA from 1 species